rnacentral:tRNA from 1 species
GGUACAGAAGCUAACUUAGUAGAAGCGGCGGACUGAAAAUCCGCAGGAAGCGGAGCGUAACCGCUCUGUACCA